rnacentral:rRNA from 1 species
AUUGAACGCUGGCGGCAUGCCUUACACAUGCAAGUCGAACGGUAACGCGGGGCAACCUGGCGACGAGUGGCGAACGGGUGAGUAAUGCAUCGGAACGUGCCCAGUAGUGGGGGAUAGCCCGGCGAAAGCCGGAUUAAUACCGCAUACGACCUACGGGUGAAAGCGGGGGACCGUAAGGCCUCGCGCUAUUGGAGCGGCCGAUGUCAGAUUAGGUUGUUGGUGGGGUAAAAGCCUACCAAGCCGACGAUCUGUAGCUGGUCUGAGAGGACGACCAGCCACACUGGGACUGAGACACGGCCCAGACUCCUACGGGAGGCAGCAGUGGGGAAUUUUGGACAAUGGGGGCAACCCUGAUCCAGCCAUGCCGCGUGCGGGAAGAAGGCCUUCGGGUUGUAAACCGCUUUUGUCAGGGAAGAAACGCUCUGGGCUAAUACCCCGGGGUAAUGACGGUACCUGAAGAAUAAGCACCGGCUAACUACGUGCCAGCCGCCGCAGUAACAC